rnacentral:misc_RNA from 1 species
ACAUAACAGAGAGUUCAAGGGGCCCGUACAGCUUGUUAGUGAGGAGAUCAGGGUGAUUUUGAUACCUUCUGAGUCAGAUUGUGCAUAUUGUUCAGCCAAGGUCUGAGUCCUAGACAAGGGUCUGAGUGGAAUGGUAUUUGUUUCAGAACCAUCAACAUCUCUGAAUCUCUCACACUGGUGUUCCUUUUACACAAGCAUGAAGAAAACAGAGUUGUUCUGGUCAUUAUACAUUGAUAUCUGUAUUUGGAAUGGAUGAUGCCCCUGUGCUAUACACACUGGAGCUGAUACCAGGGCACCGCUGGACAGACUGGAAGUUAUGUAUGAACCAGACACAAGGAGUAUAAAGGCACCAUAAUAGACCACCAUACAAGAUGGAUGAGGAACCAUUGAUGUAUCAGGAACCAUCACUGCUGGAAAGGAAAACACUCUUUAAUGGUCAGCAGGAUAUAGGUACAUGCAUGCAUGGAUUGCUUACCCAGGUAUUACUGUGGUUCUCAGGCACGUUUUGUGAACUGGUGUCAUUAACAUGAAGCAAAAUGCCAUUUGGAACAUUACAGUAGUUAAUUUUAGUACCUGAUAAAACUUGAUCAUGGUUACUGUUGCCCUGAUAGACAAAUUACAAGUAUGCCAAGUAGUUAUGAAUGUCGCCGUAGUUACAAGUUCCGGCAGCAGCAAGCACAUGCACGAUAUUUCCGUCAGGCACAUACCAGGACAGGACCGUUCAAAGUACAUGUAUGUUUGGAUGCUAUUGCAACAACUCCGAUGGACCCAUCAUCAACUAUACCACACUGGUUUGUCCAACUGGAUAGUUAGCUGGUGAUCCUGCAAGGGUCCACCUCCACCAUGGAAAUUUGAAAUAUUGCAAGGGUCUACCUCCACCAUGGAAAUUGGAAAUCCUGCAAGGGUCCACCUCCACCAUGGAAAUUGGAAAUAUUGCAAGGGUCUACCUCAACCAUGGAAAUUGGAAAUAUUGCAAGAGUCCACCUCCACCGUGGAAAUUUGAAAUAUUGCAAGGGUCCACCCCUCACCAUGGAAAUUGGAAAUCCUGCAAGAGUCCACCUCCACCAUGGAAAUUGGAAAUCCUGCAAGGGUCUGCCUCCACCAUGGAAAUGGAAAUAUUGCAAGGGUCCAUCACCACCAUGGAAAUUGGAAAUAUUGCAAGUGUCCACCCCCACCAUGGAAAUUGGAAAUCCUGCAAGGGUCCACCUCCACCAUGGAAAUUGGAAAUCUUGCAAGGGUCCACCUCCACCGUGGAAAUUGGAAAUCUUGCAAGGGUCCACCUCCACCAUGGAAAUUGGAAAUCCUGCAAGGGUCCACCUCCACCACGGAAGUUGGAAAUCCUGCAAGGGUCCACCUCCACCACGGAAGUUGGAAAGCUGCCAUAUGACCUUUACCUUGUUGUGCGACUUAAUACAAAGACCAACAGCCUUUAUAAAGACUCCACCAAUUUAAAACAACUGCAGGUACUGUGUUGAUAGUACCUGAGGUUUUUUUCUGUCAAACUAAUCACAUUUACCUCUUGCUGAGUGGGAAAGAAGAGGUGCACUGGUUGAUCACUUAGAAUGUAGAUGUUCUGCAUGAUACAGUUCCAUGGCAGUGCACAAAAGUAAGGCUGAUAUCAAGCUUAGAGACAUUUCAUGGCAGUUCACACAGGUAAAGUUGGUAGCAGCAAGGUCACUGUGCUUCAUGGCAGUGUACACAGGUAAAGCUGGCAGCAAGAAGUUCACUA